CUCAAUAAUAAAUAUCCUGUUAUUAUAUACCUUUCUCAGUCUCAAUCUCUCUCCCUCUCUCUCUCUCUCUCUCUCUCUCUCUCUUGCCCGCUCUGGAAGAAGAUGCAGAAGAUUCGUCAGACAUGAAGAAAAGGAAACCAGGAUUGGAAAUCGGCAAUGAUGUGGAUCGGUUUAUUAAUGUAAAGAAAAGGAAACCAAGAUUGGAAAAUGACAUGGACUUCAUAAAAGUAAAGGAAAAUUUAGGACACCAUUUGUCCAGGGAAGAUGAAGAAGACGAUAAGGAGUUAGUAAGUCGACAUGUAACCCAUGGAUUCCAUUUGGUACAAGGAAAAAUGGACCAUGGAAUGGAAGAUUAUAUUGUGGCAGAAAAUAGGAAAGUCAAUGGCCAUGAGGUAGGAUUAUACGCAAUUUUUGAUGGCCACUCAGGUCGUGAUGUUGCAGAAUACUUGCAAAGCCAUCUAUUUGAUAACAUACUAAGCGAGCCUGAUUUCUGGACAAACCCAAAAGAUGCCGUCAAGAGAGCAUACAAGGCUACAGACGAUGAUAUUUUGGAAAUGAUGAUUGGUUCUCGAGGAGGCUCAACAGCAGUUACUGCAACAUUAAUCGAUCAAGAAAAGCUAAUCAUAGCCAAUGUAGGGGACUCUCGGGCUAUUUUGUGCCGAAAUGGUCAAGCAAAACAGAUCACUGUAGAUCAUGAGCCACAAAAGGAGAAAGAGCUUGUUGAGAGCAGAGGUGGAUUUGUGUCUAAAGCUCCUGGAAAUGUUCCACGCGUAGAUGGCCAGCUAGCCAUGACAAGGGCAUUCGGAGAUGUGGAAGUGAAAGAGCAUAUUACAUCAGAACCAUAUGUUAGGGUUGAAAGUGUUGAUAAAGAUAGUGAAUUCAUCAUUUUGGCUAGUGAUGGCCUGUGGAAAGUGAUGUCAAACAAAGAGGCAUUAGAAUGUAUUCGAAAAAUAGAUGAUGCCCAGGAAGCAUCUAAGAAGUUAGUUAGAGAAGCUUUAUCCAGAAAAAGCAACGAUGAUAUAUCCUGUGUGAUUGUAAUGUUCCACUAAAUCAGCCUCAGCUUUCCGGUCAUGAUGUACACAGGUUGAGAUCUCAAACUAAAAUCAGUCAAAUGGAAGAUGAUGACAUUGUAAUUGCGGUUUUAUACAAUGGAACAUUGGUACAAAAUGAUAGUGGUGAUUGGGAAUAUCGAAAUGGUAAAAAUGUAAUGGUUUCCAUCGGCAAGAGAUGCACAAAAUCAGAGUUAGAGGACUGUGGCAUAUUUACACUCAAGACCAUCGAAUUCUUACAUGCUAGAUUACCAUUGACAUUCACACAAGAUAACAUGGAGUUCUUUAGGAAGAAGUAUGCAUAUGAGGUUUACAACAAAGAACUUAGCAUAUGAGCUGCGUGGUGAUGCUUUUUUCUUUCCUUUUUUCAUGUUUAUAGAUGCAUAUUAUUUAUUAUAUUUGACUUUUAAUUGUAAAUAUAAUGGUGGCUUAUAAUGUUCAUUUAACAAAGAUAACAAUGUGGUAUUGAUGUAAUGAUAAGUAAUUGACCUUAUAGGAAAUGUGCCAUGUUUAUUUA